UGUAUUCAAUAACCCCAAAACAGUAACAAGACUAACAAUGGAAACAUUACUGGUGCCCGCUUGAGCAAAUCCAUGAACAACGGUUUGACAGUGAUACAGUGCUACAAUGGAUCACUCCUGGUAGAGCUAGGGGGACCAGAUGAGGUGUCAGGGAUUGGACCUGUGUUGAAUACAUACAAGGCAAUGGCUAUUUAAAUAAAGUAGAGCUACUCCAAAAUAAACUAAGUUUCUUGUAUAGAUCUUAGAAUUUUUUUUUAAAUACUGUUUACGAGAACAUGCCUUCUCCAGAUGGAGCUCCAGCGACACUGAGCUUCUACAACACAGUUCCAGUAUGCGGGACUGGGAUAUCUCUAAACCGCAGGGGGCACUGGAGCGGGGCAGCGCCAGCCCAGUUUGCAAUUUGUCCCAGCCGCCAGAAGUCAUGCCCUCAACCCUCCCUCAGCUCCAUCUUGCCACAACCAGCAGUGAAGAAUCCAAGCCUUUCCAGCAGCACCACAAGCUGGAGAUCGCUCUGGACCCCAGACCGGGCCAACAACACCAGAGUGCCAGACGGGGAAGGUACAGCCAUCACACCUUCUCCAGAUGGAGCCCCAGUGACACUGAGCUUCUACUAACACAGCUCUGGUAUGUGGGACUGGGACAUCUCCAAACCACGCGGCCGCUUAUGCGGCUGUGCAACCUUUCCUGAUAUACAAAUAUAUGCUCAGGAAUGGCUGAGCAUCCAUUAUCCCAGAGGCACAUAAACCAAUCUCAGAAUGCAACGGCUGCUGGCAGAUAUACUUCUGUACUCUGAACUAAGCUAAGGCCCCAUGCAGCCCGGAAGGGGAAGGGUUUCUGUCCCUUGACUUUUUCCCCUCUAGACAGCAUGGCGACCGCCAACAUUCUGAACCAAUUGGACAGAGAGGUAGGAGUUUGCAGUGAUGGGACGGGAUGGAUAGGAAAUCUUGCGAUGAGGAAGACAGAACCAGCCCUGCCUCUUGCCUAAAUGAGACCCCGAGCGGUUGCCUAUGAACAGCUCCUCCACUCCUGAACAACCAUGAUCCCAGCACCACAGAAACCAAUCUCGGAAUGCAGCGGCUGCUGACAGAAAUACCUCUGGACUUAAUACCAGAAUUCCAAAUCUGGGUGGCUGCUUUUGCGACCUUGCAACAACAUAUGUUCUUUGUUAACAACAAUAGAAAACAUACAAUCUAAUGAUGUUAUUCUGACAGAUCAGACUGUUGGGGGAAAAACUCCACAUAAUGAUAGUGAGUUUCCUGUCGAAAAUUGAAUGUAAUCAAAGUAAGGAAAGAGUAAAGAGAAAAU